UGAUACUGAUUGAUAUCCUAAGUAUCUGAUAUCUGUGUACUUGAAGUUUCUGUGCCAACAGGUCAGCCGCAUGAAGCAACUCAUCAUCAAACUCCCAAAUGACAACUAAACAAACAAAUCAAAUACAACAGUAUCAGACCAUUGGGGUUGUAUGACCUUUUUAGAUCAUUCAUUUUGAUGAUUGUACAUGAUUCUGGUCUCCAACAAAGUUUAUGUUUUAAGUGUAUCCCACUGCUUUCUUUCUUUCUCUUUCGUAAGGAUCUCUCUCGAGUUCACAAGGUACCCU